CGGAGCGUGGCGCAGCCUGGUAGCGCACCUGCUUUGGGAGCAGGGGGUCGAAGGUUCGAAUCCUUUCGCUCCGACCA
rnacentral:tRNA from 6 species